rnacentral:tRNA from 1 species
UCCAGGGUAGUCUAGUGGACAUGGCAUCUGCCCAGUAAGCGGAACACUGUGGGUUCGUUUCCCAUCCCUGGAU